rnacentral:rRNA from 1 species
UAGCUAGUUGGUGAGGUAAAGGCUUACCAAGGCGACGAUCUGUAGCGGGUCUGAGAGGAUGAUCCGCCACACUGGAACUGAGACACGGUCCAGACUCCUACGGGAGGCAGCAGUGGGGAAUCUUGGACAAUGGGGGCAACCCUGAUCCAGCCAUGCCGCGUGAGUGAAGAAGGCCUUCGGGUUGUAAAGCUCUUUCGGCCGGGAAGAAAUCGCAUGGGCCAAUACCCUGUGUGGAUGACGGUACCGGAAUAAGAAGCACCGGCUAACUACGUGCCAGCAGCCGCGGUAAUACGUAGGGUGCGAGCGUUAAUCGGAAUUACUGGGCGUAAAGCGUGCGCAGGCGGUUUUGUAAGACAGGCGUGAAAUCCCCGGGCUUAACCCGGGAACUGCGUUUGUGACUGCAAGGCUAGAGUACGGCAGAGGGGGGUGGAAUUCCACGUGUAGCAGUGAAAUGCGUAGAGAUGUGGAGGAACACCAAUGGCGAAGGCAGCCCCCUGGGUCGAUACUGACGCUCAUGCACGAAAGCGUGGGUAGCAAACAGGAUUAGAUACCCUGGUAGUCCACGCCCUAAACUAUGUCAACUAGGUGUUGGGUGGGUAAAACCAUUUAGUACCGUAGCUAACGCGUGAAGUUGACCGCCUGGGGAGUACGGCCGCAAGGUUAAAACUCAAAGGAAUUGACGGGGACCCGCACAAGCGGUGGAUGAUGUGGAUUAAUUCGAUGCAACGCGAAAAACCUUACCUACCCUUGACAUGCCAGGAACUUGCAGAGAUGGCUUGGUGCCCGAAAGGGAGCCUGGACACAGGUGCUGCAUGGUUGUCGUCAGCUCGUGUCGUGAGAUGUUGGGUUAAGUCCCGCAACGGGCGCAACCCUUGUCGUUAAUUGCCAUCAUUUAGUUGGGCACUUUAACGAGACUGCCGGUGACAAACCGGAGGAAGGUGGGGAUGACGUCAAGUCCUCAUGGCCCUUAUGGGUAGGGCUUCACACGUCAUACAAUGGUCGGUACAAAGGGUUGCCAAGCCGCGAGGCGGAGCCAAUCCCAGAAAGCCGAUCGUAGUCCGGAUUGCAGGCUGCAACUCGCCUGCAUGAAGUCGGAAUCGCUAGUAAUCGUGGAUCAGCAUGUCACGGUGAAUACGUUCCCGGGUCUUGUACACACCGCCCGUCACACCAUGGGAGCGGGUUCCGCCAGAAGUAGGUAGCCUAACCGCAAGGGGGGCGCUUACCACGGCGGGGUUCGUGACUGGGGUGAAGUCGAAACAAGGUAGCCGUAGGGGAACCUGCGGCUG